ACAGUGAACUCCGCAUCGACUCACGCGUUCACCUCCUUCCGGUCUAAAUGGUAAACUCCUCUGCAUUUUCUGUUCGGUUCUAUUUUGGUGGGGCCCACGCGUCAUCACAGAGUAUCUGGGAGCCCUGCCCUCUUGCAGAUGGGAAUGAAGGCCCAGGUGCUCUGGAGAGGUGACUCUCCUCUAGAAAGGAAACACUGGUUCUGUAAACCUGUUUGAGAAGAAAAGCUCGAGGUUUCUUGGCCUCUCUGCUUCUGGAGCCAGGGGAAAAAAUAGCCCCAGGCUGAAGACAGGAGGGACCAGAUUGCUGCUUGGUGAUGCGAUCUCACUGCAGAGGCAGCCAGGAGACCCUCCUGAGACGAAUCGGAGAGUCCAUGCUGCUUUUACACACAUCCUAGUUCUUUUAUAACUAGCCUUUUCCUAUUAACGGACAUCAUUCAAAAGCCAGUUUUAAGCAACAUAAAUAUUGAAAACAAUACUAUACUAUUUAGAAUUAAUUAUAAGUUUUGUUUUUAAAGCCUAAAUCUUUUAUUGUUGUUUGAACCCUGGGCACUGAAGCUAAUAAUGUAACUUUUCUCCCUUCUUUCUUCUUUGGCAUAGAUUUAAAGAACUGUUAGACUCAUUUAAAAUGCUAUUAGGCAUUUUAAAGAGUAAUUGUUAAAUGUGUUGUCUCUUGUGGGACUGGAAAUGUUCUGUUCUUAUCUGGCGCUGGUUACAUCCUGUUUUUCAUUUGGGAAAGUGCAUUGAGCUGGAAAUUUAUAUGUUCAAUUUCUGUAUGUAAAUUGUACUUCAGUAAAAAUUUUCAAAAAA
rnacentral:lncRNA from 1 species